AGUUCCGUAAUGUAAGUACAUAGCAUAUAGGAUUGCAAAUCCUCAGGAGUAGGUUUAUAUCCCUACCGGGACUU
rnacentral:tRNA from 1 species